rnacentral:rRNA from 1 species
UACGGGGGGGGCAAGCGUUGUUCGGAAUUACUGGGCGUAAAGAGCUCGUAGGUGGUUUGUCGCGUUGUUCGUGAAAACUCACAGCUCAACUGUGGGCGUGCGGGCGAUACGGGCAGACUGGAGUACUGCAGGGGAGACUGGAAUUCCUGGUGUAGCGGUGGAAUGCGCAGAUAUCAGGAGGAGCACCGGUGGCGAAGGCGGGUCUCUGGGCAGUAACUGACGCUGAGGAGCGAAAGCGUGGGGAGCGAACAGG